UUGUCACAAUGGAAUAACUCUCCAAUCCUUCUUCACCAGCAAUUUCAGCAACAACAAAGAACUGUGGCACCACAACCAAAUCACCAGCCUCAACUUGAGUGUUUAACACACUCUUUCCAUUGAAGUCCACAAUUUCAAUCUUGCCACUUCCUCUAGCAAUAUAAAUCAACUCAACAGUAGGACUCACCGGGUAUGAUGGAGCCUUGAUAGCAUUAGGUUCAAGUUUUACUCUGAUCAAGCUUAACCCAACAUCCUCAAUAGAACCAAAAUCUUUCUCUGUUAAGGUUUUCACCAACCCAGCUUUUUCCACAGCAUUUUCUGGCUCUGCACCAUCUAUAUUAUACACUAACUUUUUGGUAUUGUGCAGUUGGGGCUUAGGAACAGGUUGAGUUUUGUCUAGUUUGAUGAUCAAAACCCCAGUUUGGCUUCUUGUGAGCUUUUCCACUUCAUUUUUGUCUAAGCCAUAGACCUUGCUCGUGAGAUCAGUGGAGAAGCCUCCUAUAACUCCUAUAGCCCCAGUUAGAAAGAAAUAGGUGAAUUGACCUGGAAUAAGAGCCUUUGAAGUUUCUCCAAGAAAAACGAUGACCAGAUCUGUGUCUCCAUCGUUGAACCACCACGAAACAGCUCCAACAGGUACUGCUAUAACGUCUCCUUUCUCAAGUUUCACAACCACCUCUUCUUUGCUGUUCGGGAGAACCAUUCCAGCUACUCCGUCGCUCCCUACAAAGUUUCUUAUAUAAAUAAUAACUCGCAAUCCUAAACUCUAAG
rnacentral:lncRNA from 1 species